GAUGAAGAACGCAGCGAAAUGCGAUAAGUAAUGUGAAUUGCAGAAUUCAGUGAAUCAUCGAAUCUUUGAACGCACACUGCGCCCGCCAGUAUUCUGGCGGGCAUGCCUGUUCGAGCGUCAUUACAACCCUCAGGCCCCCGGGCCUGGCGUUGGGGAUCGGCGGAAGCCCCCUGCGGGCACAACGCCGUCCCCCAAAUACAGUGGCGGUCCCGCCGCAGCUUCCAUUGCGUAGUAGCUAACACCUCGCAACUGGAGAGCGGCGCGGCCACGCCGUAAAACACCCAACUUCUGAAUGUUGACCUCGAAUCAGGUAGGAAUACCCGCUGAACUUAAGCAUAUCAAUAAGCGGAGGA
rnacentral:misc_RNA from 1 species